UACGUAGGGUGCAAGCGUUAAUCGGAAUUACUGGGCGUAAAGCGUGCGCAGGCGGUUUUGUAAGUCUGACGUGAAAUCCCCGGGCUCAACCUGGGAAUUGCGUUGGAGACUGCAAGGCUAGAAUCUGGCAGAGGGGGGUAGAAUUCCACGUGUAGCGGUGAAAUGCGUAGAGAUGUGGAGGAACACCGAUGGCGAAGGCAGCCCCCUGGGUCAAGAUUGACGCUCAUGCACGAAAGCGUGGGGAGCAAACAGG
rnacentral:rRNA from 1 species